GGUUAAGCGACUAAGCGUACACGGUGGAUGCCCUGGCAGUCAGAGGCGAUGAAGGACGUGCUAAUCUGCGAUAAGCGUCGGUAAGGUGAUAUGAACCGUUAUAACCGGCGAUUUCCGAAUGGGGAAACCCAGUGUGUUUCGACACACUAUCAUUAACUGAAUCCAUAGGUUAAUGAGGCGAACCGGGGGAACUGAAACAUCUAAGUACCCCGAGGAAAAGAAAUCAACCGAGAUUCCCCCAGUAGCGGCGAGCGAACGGGGAGCAGCCCAGAGCCUGAAUCAGUGUGUGUGUUAGUGGAAGCGUCUGGAAAGGCGCGCGAUACAGGGUGACAGCCCCGUACACAAAAAUACACAUACUGUGAGCUCGAUGAGUAGGGCGGGA
rnacentral:rRNA from 1 species